rnacentral:rRNA from 1 species
UUGAAAGGGAAACGAUUGAAGUCAGUCGUACCUGCGGGUAAUCAGCCUUUUGGGUGUGAUUCUGUGGAGUGUGAGGAGUUAAACGCCUUCAUGCCUGCAUAUUCGUGCACUUUGGGUGUACUUGCCCGUGUGGUUGGUUAACAUCAAUUUUGGUCGUCAUAAAAUGGCUGGAGGAAUGUAGCUUCGAUCUUGUAUUGAAGUGUUAUAGCCUUCGGUAGAUGUGAUGAUUGGGAUUGAGGAUUGCAACGGAUACCCUUCGGGGCUACCUGUCUGAUCUCUGAUCGUUGCUCUGGUGCCGAAAGCGUGCUUACGGUCAUCAAAGUCGAUGGUCAAUAGGUUAGAACGGGUUAAAUUCGUUAAGGAUGUUGACGUA